GUCAUGAACUAUUACGAUAAUCGAAGAGAGAGAAAGUUAGGGUUUGUGUUUUUUUUUUUUUUUUUUUUUAGGAAAGAUGGUUUCUAUUUUGUUAUAAUGCUGACUGCUCAUCCCAAUCUAAUCCUACGGUUGAGAUUAGUUUUUAUAUAACUAGGGUUCUUAUAUAAGGAUGAGUUCUUACCAGAUCCUUCCUCUAUAUAACCGAGUUACGGUGAGAACUAGCCGAAUAAUAGAACUAAGAACUAAUUUAGACCGUUAGAUCUAACACAAAUAGGCGCGCGAUCAACGGUCCAGAUUGAAUCACGCAUAUUCAGUUCAUUGCCCAAAAUCAUGCGGACUUUCUCUCUCCUCAGGCAUUUUCUCUCUCCUCCAUUACAACGAGCCUCUGAAUUCUCCAUUAAAGCGGUCUCCGUGCUUUCUCUACUCCAUUGAAGCGACUUUCGAGCUUUCACUACUCCAUUGAAGCGGCAUCUAAGCUUUCUAUAUUCCAUGGAAGUAGUUUUUGAGGUUAAAAGUGUUAAAGUAUUGACAGAACUUGGUUUCAAGACUGAAGUUACGCUUGAUGAUGUAUUGGCAAUGCUUCGAACUUGGAGAACGUUGGAGUCUACAUUCACAGCUGGGUAUUAAUCUAUUGCAGAGCUAGUCACUUUUCUGCCUAUUCUUGAUCAUUGGUUGAUAAAAAGCUGCUCAUUUCUUUGUUCUUAAUCUUAAUUGCUGAUUUGUUGAUUUAGAAAUUCAUUGUAAUCUAGCCCCUGCAUAUUUUACAAAAACUUAAGCAGUCAUUCAAAUCAAUGUGACGUUGUGGCUUUGUAAGAAAGAUUGAACAACCUAGUACAAUUUUACCAUCUAAAGAAGUUAUAAAGCUAAAUCUUAUAUUACUUGCUGCUUACAAACUAUGCUAUUAUUGAACUAACAAUGUCUCCUAUGAGUAUUAUUUUAUCAAUUUCAAAAGUAGAUAGAAACCAAAUAAAAGUAAACUAAUUACAUUAUAAAGUAAAUCAAAAAACUGAACCUAUGAUUUAGAAUAUGAGCAAUCAGAAGUUGUAGCUUAUGCUCUCUUAUCAGAUUAGAAAAUAUAUGGGUGUAGAAAUGAUAUAUAUUGGCCAUUAGCAAGGGCAUAUAUGGUUCCAUUGAAAUCUUGUGGUGGUAGGAACGUGGAAGUGCUGAUGCUCUAAGGGAAAUGCUCAAUGACCCAAAUUCCUAUUUGGACUGUGACAUGGGAAACAUUAUCAGGGACGUUGCUCAUCUUCUCCAACGAAACUGGUCUGUUACUAUUCUCCAUGCUGGGAGGGCAGUCAACCAUUUGGCUCACCAGCUAGCUGCUCUUGGAAGAUGUCAACCUCAGAUCUUGAAGCUGCUUGAUCAUGGCUUCUUUGCUGCUGUUCCUCGCCAAACUUUUUCUUCAACUGUCACCUUCACUCGGCAUUUUGUCAGUAGCUUUAUGUUUAGUUAUUUCGUGCUUUCUUUGUCUUUCUGUAAUCUUUUCUAUUCUAAGAGUGAUCUUACCACUUUAUCCUCUUUUGCGUUAAAAAAAAAGAGUACGUGGAGAUGAGAGUAUGGAUUGAGGAGGCUCGUCCUUGUGUAAUGGAUAUUGUUAUGCUAGCAUUCCUUAAUAAAGUAUGCUGCUUUCUGUCAACAAAAAAAAAAGUUUUCAUGACGAGAAAUACAUCCGUUGUCUCCAAAAGUAAAUAAAAAAGAAUAUAAAGUGAAUAAAAAGGACUUUAAAGUAAACCUAUUAGCUCAAGUGGUAGAGCACUAUGCGUAUGCAUAGAGGUGUAGGUUCG